rnacentral:rRNA from 1 species
CCCUGGUAGUCCACGCCGUAAACGAUGUCGACUUGGAGGUUGUUCCCUUGAGGAGUGGCUUCCGGAGCUAACGCGUUAAGUCGACCGCCUGGGGAGUACGGCCGCAAGGUUAAAACUCAAAUGAAUUGACGGGGGCCCGCACAAGCGGUGGAGCAUGUGGUUUAAUUCGAUGCAACGCGAAGAACCUUACCUACUCUUGACAUCCAGCGAACUUAGCAGAGAUGCAUUGGUGCCUUCGGGAACGCUGAGACAGGUGCUGCAUGGCUGUCGUCAGCUCGUGUUGUGAAAUGUUGGGUUAAGUCCCGCAACGAGCGCAACCCUUAUCCUUUGUUGCCAGCGAUUCGGUCGGGAACUCAAAGGAGACUGCCGGUGAUAAACCGGAGGAAGGUGGGGAUGACGUCAAGUCAUCAUGGCCCUUACGAGUAGGGCUACACACGUGCUACAAUGGCGCAUACAAAGAGAAGCGACCUCGCGAGAGCAAGCGGACCUCACAAAGUGCGUCGUAGUCCGGAUCGGAGUCUGCAACUCGACUCCGUGAAGUCGGAAUCGCUAGUAAUCGUGGAUCAGAAUGCCACGGUGAAUACGUUCCCGGGCCUUGUACACACCGCCC